rnacentral:rRNA from 1 species
UACGAAGGGGGCUAGCGUUGCUCGGAAUCACUGGGCGCAAAGGGUGCGUAGGCGGGUCUUUAAGUCAGGGGGGAAAUCCUGGAGCUCAACUCCAGAACUGCCUUUGAUACUGGCGACCUUGAGUCCGGGAGAGGUGAGUGGAACUGCGAGUGUAGAGGUGAAAUUCGUAGAUAUUCGCAAGAACACCAGUGGCGAAGGCGGCUCACUGGCCCGGUACUGACGCUGAGGUGCGAAAGCGUGGGGAGCAAACAGG